rnacentral:rRNA from 1 species
AGAGUGAACGCUGGCGGCAGGCCUAACACAUGCAAGUCGAGCGGCAGCGCGGGAGUAGCAAUACUUCUGGCGGCGAGCGGCGGACGGGUGAGGAACACAUCGGAAUCUACCCUGUCGUGGGGACAACGUAGGGAAACUUACGCUAAUACCGCAUACGACCUUUGGGUGAAAGUGGGGGACUCGCAAGAGCCUCACGCGAUUGGAUGAGCCGAUGUCCGAUUAGCUAGUUGGUGGGGUAAUGGCCUACCAAGGCGACGACGGGUA